AGAAAAGGAGUUCAUUCUCUCUCUGGAUGCUCGACUUGAUGACAGCCAAUUAAAGGCUUCGUCCCAUCGAAAACGAGCAUCCGAAUCGUCGACCAGCGAGGAAUAAUAGGUGAAUUCGUCGACAAAACCUAGACGACGCCCAGGUCAACCACGGCAUCGCGCAAGACUGUGAAGAAGACCUCCGGGUAAAAUACCUAAACUUCAUUCGGGUUGCUAUUUUUUUUUUACAAGCAGUGACGCAGUAUUAUUCUGAGUGUUAACUUUGUUUGAAUUUCAAAUUCAGGGACCCAAGUUUGAUGCUGUUUAAGCACGGACUACGUAUUAAAAUUUGAACUAAACCUUAUUGAAAAGGCUAUUUGUAGAUUUAAUAUAAUGUAAUUUUUUUAAUGUAUUUUGUAGGUUAUGUACUUUUUUUAUUUUUCCUUUUUUAAUGAAAAAAAUCGCAAACAUCCCUUCGGGUAACUUGCUAACGCAGGUAGCUGACAAUCCUUUUACAAAUAUUGAUUUUAACUUUUACAAACAAUACUAGAUGGCAUGUUUAGAAACGGUCACGCCAUCUGUUGCCAUCUACUCUACCGGUACCAACCCCCAGAAAAACUUCCGCACCACACGCGGACCAACAUCAAAAUAGGAUUCUCUUUGUUGGCUUCCAACUUUUUACCGUUUCACCGGAGAAAAAAUUCAACCCGUUACAUUAGAGAAACUACCAGAAUUUACAAGUAAACACAAGAACGACUAUACAAUGAAACAAAAGAGAGAACCGAUAUCAACAAGAAUGACGGGAGAAUCAGCCUGGCUAAAGACUGUACGAUAACUGAAGUACUAGCUUCUUCCAUUUGGAUUCGUAUUCGUCGAUCGACGGGAACCGUCCCAUUUUCCACGUUUUCCAUGUUACAUCCACAAAGACGGUCACAAGUAUUCGAGCGGGGGCGUCGUGUGGAAGUCGCCCUAUAUCUGAUCCAGUGCGUCCAAAUACCGGAGCAGCCGAGGGACACGAGGUACCUCUUAUCCAGUUCGUGGCUGUUACACGUUCUGGGCAUCCGAGAUGGUCAGCCGAUAUUUUACUUUACCACUGCACUGAUUGUUGGAAAUUUAUUGCAUCCCAACAGUGAUCGGCACUAUUGCUACUGUUAAUUCUAUGUAAUUUGUAGGGACCUCAACAGAGGGCCCCAAUUUUACCCUCUCUUUCCACUCAAUCUAUUGUUCCUAUCCUACU